GGAAUAUCGUCAUGGUGAUUCGUCACCAUGAGGCUAGAUCUCAUAUCUAGCGCUUUCGAGCGCUAGAGUCCUUAUCUAGCCGGUUUAUACUUUCGAGUGUGAACCCGAUAUUCCGCGGAUCACUAUGAGUCGUUCGCGGCUCAUAGUCCGGCUCAAAGGACAUCAUGGCCUGUUCGCAGGUUGUGAUUAUGAGUGAGCCGGGUAAGGCAUACCGUUCGCGGUAUGUCUUACGAUCCGC
rnacentral:misc_RNA from 1 species